UACGUAGGGGGCAAGCGUUGUCCGGAUUUAUUGGGCGUAAAGAGCGUGUAGGCGGCCAGACAGGUCCGUUGUGAAAACUCGAGGCUCAACCUCGAGACGCCGGUUGAAACCAUCUGGCUAGAGUCCGGAAGAGGAGAGUGGAAUUCCUGGUGUAGCGGUGAAAUGCGCAGAUAUCAGGAAGAACACCCGUGGCUAAGGCGGCUCUCUAGUACGGUACUGACGCUGAGACGCGAAAGCGUGGGGAGCGAACAGG
rnacentral:rRNA from 1 species